rnacentral:rRNA from 1 species
GACGAACGCUGGCGGCGUGCUUAACACAUGCAAGUCGAACGAUGAAGCUAGAGCUUGCUCUGGUGAAUUAGUGGCGAACGGGUGAGUAACACGUGAGUAACCUGCCCCGAACUCUGGGAUAACUGCUGGAAACGGUAGCUAAUACUGGAUACGACCUACGAAGGCGUCUUCUGUAGGUGGAAAGAAUUUCGGUUCGGGAUGGACUCGCGGCCUAUCAGCUUGUUGGUGAGGUAAUGGCUCACCAAGGCGACGACGGGUAGCCGGCCUGAGAGGGUGACCGGCCACACUGGGACUGAGACACGGCCCAGACUCCUACGGGAGGCAGCAGUGGGGAAUAUUGCACAAUGGGCGCAAGCCUGAUGCAGCAACGCCGCGUGAGGGAUGACGGCC